GUAGGUGGCAAGCGUUGUCCGGAAUUAUUGGGCGUAAAGCGCGCGCAGGCGGUUCUUUAAGUCUGAUGUCGGAAGCCCACGGCUCAACCGUGGAGGGUCAUUGGAAACUGGAGAACUUGGGUACAGAAGAGGAAAGCGGAAUUCCACGUGUAGCGGUGAAGUGCGUAGAGAUGUGGAGGAACACCAGUGGCGAAGGCGGCUUUCUGGUCUGUAACUGACGCUGAGGCGCGAAAGCGUAGGGGAGCGAAACAGGGAUUAGAUACCCUGGUAGUCCACGCCGUAAACGAUGAGUGCUAAGUGUUAGGGGGUUUCCCGCCCCUUAGUGCUGCAGCUAACGCAUUAAGCACUCCGCCUGGGGAUACGGCCGCAAGGCUG
rnacentral:rRNA from 1 species